UAAGUUAGCCAGUCUUGGGUAUGUCUUUAUUAGCAGCAUAAGAACAAGACUAAUACAAGCCUCCUGGGUCAGUUCAAAUCACCUUGAUAUUUUGUAAUUCCAAUGCAUUGGCAUAAAGUAAAUUUCCUUCCUCCCUUGGCCCUCACCUCUCUCUUGAUUCCAGUAACACAAAGGGAGAGUUGCAGAGAGAUGCUACCUGGGUUUGAUGUAAUUUGCUGCCAGGUAAAUUAUAAUAAUUUGUUAAGGAAUUCAAGCCAUAGAGGAUGAGGAUGCUCUUUUAGCAUGUUAGGUUUGAAGUAACAGGUCAAAAGAAAUAGCAUUAUUGUUAUUAAAUUCAAAAGAGAAAUAAUUUUUAUGCAUAUUAGAAGGGGAAUUUUGAAGGAAAUUAUACUUUUUCUGUAUACUUACAUAUUUUACUUUUUAUUUACCAGAAGAAAAGGCAUUUGCUGCCCAAGGUAGAAUCCCAUCACCAUAGUCCUUUCCUACAUCUAAUCACAAAAUCAGAAUGUGCCAAUUCUCCAUUCCCAAGUAAGUCAACAGACCCUGAGAUCACAUUCCCUUUCUCCCCUCUGCAAAACUUCAAGGACAGGAGUCCCUGACAGGCAGCUGACAUUUGGGGUUGCAUACAAAAAAGUCAAGUCACUGCAAGAGAAGGAAGUUUGUUUCUAUUGGAAGAGUUAGUGUAUAACAUAUAAAAAGGGAGUGAGGAUGGGGACAUUGUAGUAUGGAAGGGUUUAAAGGGCUUAGAAAAUGGUUUUUUUAAAGGUGGACAGGGGAAGAGUAGAAGGCAAAGAAAAAGUCAUCCAUGUGGGACAUCUUCUGAACACCCAAGGAGAAUCUUUGGGGAUACAUUCCCCCCAAGAUUUAAGGAAGUAACUUCACUCCUGAGAAGAAUGUACAGGGAGCACAGAAGCUAAACCAGGAGCAACAUCCAAUUUCUUUGUCUCUCCUUCUCUUCCCACUGCAAACUCUGUACAGAUUUAGCAUAAUUACCUGAACUUUCUCAUAAAAAUCAUAGCCUUCAUGAAGAUCCAUUAUGUAUUUGAUUCACAGAAAGUUGGUAUUGAAUUGUAAAACAUGGCUAUGAAUUUCUCCCUCUCCAAUAGGCAUGUCAUUUUGGAACGUGACUUGCUGCUCUUCUUAUCAAGGGUAAAGUCCGUUUCUUCACCUUUUAAUCUAGAGUAGCUGUGCAACUUUCUUUGACCAAUCAAAUAUGGUGAAAGUCAUGUUGCAUGACUUUCAGGUCUAAGUCUUAAAAGAGAUUUUUCACUUUCUGCUUUCACUCCCUUGGAAUGUUGCCCUGAGAUCACCACACCAUGAAGAAGUCUGGGGUGAAAGGCCAUGUGGAGUGAGAGGCUCAGCUUCCCAGAUGCUCUCACUGAGCACAGCCCCCAGCCACCUGCCAGCUCAAUGCAACCUGGUGAUGGACCCCAAGCAAAUACCAGCAGAAGAAUCACCUGGUCAACCCACAGAAUCAUGAGAAAUAUUAAAUUGUUGUUGUCUUAAGCCAAGACAUGAAGUGGAAAACUUAGACUAAAACCAGCAAAACGAGAAGUAUCAAUGGCUGCGCAAGGAAGUAAUGUAGACCUACGCUAAAUCUUCUCUUGGAUUUACCAAGUGACUUCUAGGUGGUGCUGCACUUCUGUGUCUUCUUGUUGAGCAUUGAAGCAGAAAACGAGUGGGAGCCAAACCAUGACAAAGUGACUGACACUGAGAAACUGGAAAAUUGAAAUGCAGAUGGGGUUUCAUUUUUGUGUCCUGAUAAUGUUUUUGAAAGUUUUGAUUUCCUCCCCACAAUUGAAUUCCCAAUAAAGGUAUGGAAAGUUCAUUGUGCAAUGGCCGGGGAAUUCCUGGGUCACUUGCACCUCUUGAAGAAGCAAUUAGGGAUGGGGUCACUGUGUUCCCCAAUAACUGUAGUAAAGAGCUGGGAAGUCAAGGACCCAGUCACUUUCCGAGCUUUUGUUUCCUCAGAUUUCAAAUAGGCAUUGAAAAAUAAAACAAAGCGCAACCUAUUUCACAAAGAAUUAAAGAGAACUUCCACAAAGAACCUGAUCAUUGCAUGUGAGAUAACACAUCCAAAAUUGCUAAGUCAGGAACUUGAACCAAAGAUCUUCUGGUUCAGUUUGCAAGAGAUCUAAAAAGCCAUUUGAGAGGGUCAGACAACAAUUUUACUAUUAAACGAGGGCUUGAUUUGUUUUUCUCUGGACUUCUGACCACUCAGGGGCCAUGUGAUGUGUUCUGAGAAAUGGUGUCAUGGCAGUAAAAGAUAGUGGCCUUCUUCAAAGAGUCAUGCCUUACGGAGCCUCCCUAGUGUUUCACCUGGGCAAAAAGAAAAACAGAAUUUCACAGAAAAUUAAAGCUUCACUCUCUUUCUUUGACAAAGAUAUUUGGCAAGAUUCAUCACACAGUUCCACAAGCAUUAGUCAUUGAUGGAUCCAAAGCACGGACUGAAGAACAGAAAAACCUGCUGAUACAAGUCCCUUCUCAGGAAUGGCUUGGACUGACCAGGCUGGUUCUUCCACCAAAUUUGGCCACUGGAUUUCAAAGACAAAGUUUUGGACUUGAAUUUAGGUAACUUUAAGUCUAUUGAAGAACCUUAUUGUUUUGACAAACUUGAGAGAUGAUUUGUGUGUGCUUGUCUGUUUUAUCUAAUAAGAGAGAGAUGGCGAACUCCAUAAGAACAAGAAUUGUGUUAUGUCUGGCACAUUGUAGGUGCUCAAUAAAUAUAUUCACUACAUAAAUAAAUAAAUAAAUAAAGGCCAAAAAAAGCCUGCAAAAUUUUUGGAAAGUUUUAAUGAUAGUGUGGUAAAAAAUAAAUAGAAUAAUAAGAAGAAAUGAAGCCACGAAUUCAUUAUGUUAUUAAAAAUAAUUUGAAAAGAAAACCAACAUACCCAGAAAAGCAGAGCCUGAGAAACUGCAGAAAAAUGGAGCAGAAGCCUGCUUUAUCUCUGGACUUGGUGUUGAGACAAUAUGUUUCCUCAUUGCUUAAGCCAGUUUUUCUAUUAUUUGCAGUGAAAAGUGCUAUAAUUGAUUCAAGAUCAGUGCAUUUACUUCCAGUGGGGCAUAUUCUUUCCAAUAACCACAAGGCAUUAGUUGCUUCCCCUAGACACUCCUUCCUCUAUUGGAAGAUCUGGGAAACCAAAUUAGUUAUUGGAAAUUUCUCUGCCUCAACUCCUCCCUUCCCUCCUGAAGGUGAGUUCUUUAAAAGGGAAUGGGAUGAAUUUUCAGAGAGCUUGAAAUAAAUCUUUAGAAAUCCUGUUGAAGUACUGCAACCCAGAAACAAGAUCCCCUCUCUAGUGACUGGGAGAUUCAAGACACUUCACAGUGAGAACUUUUUUUUUCUUCGUAAACAAUGGUGAAAACCCUCUGUCCUUGUUUUCUCCUUUGCUUCUCUUUGUGUAGACCAUCAUUGUUCAAAAAGUAUAUCUCACAUGAGCUUCUCAUGCAAGCUACAUAUAUGUAGUUUACA